rnacentral:rRNA from 1 species
AUAGUUCGUAGUGACCUGCGGAGGAUCAUUA